rnacentral:tRNA from 1 species
GCGCCCAUAGCUCAGUGGUUAGAGCAUGCGACUUAUAAUCGCAGGGUCCUUGGUUCAAAUCCAAGUGGGCGCA